AUGGCGGCCAGGGUGCACCACCACCACUACCCCGUGCUGGUGUCGGCAGCGGCGUCGCCUGCUAGGUCGGAGGACAUGCGGCUGAGGCGGUCGCGUCCGCCUGCCAAGGCGGAGGACAGGCGGCUGAGGCGGUCUCCGCCGGUGUCGGUGGAGAAGGCGCGGCGGCAGGGGCGGCCGUCGCGGGGCGGGGCUGCGGUGGCGGGGACAGCGGCGGGGACGGCAGCUGGGUGCGCGGCCGUGUGCGCCUGCUUCCCGUUCGCCGUGAUUGAGCUCGCCGUCCUAGCCACCGUGCGCGCCCCCGCCGCGAUGUGCCGCCGCACCAUCCGCGAGAGGCGCAACCGGCGACGCGAGGCCCGGGCCAUGCGGAAGAAGGAGAUGGAGGGCGUCAUCCUCGGCGGGGACGCGUCGCCCAAGUCGGUGGCCGCGGCCCAGGCGAAGCACGCCGCGCUGAAGGCGGAGGAGGAAGAGGCGGAGCAGGGGUGGUGCCAUUGGCCGGUCAAGCCCGCGGCGGCGGCGGUGGCUGCGGCCGAGGAGCUCGCCGAGGCGGAGAAGGAGGUGUGGGAGCGCUUCUACGGCACCGGCGGCUUCGGGAGGAGCCCGUCGGAGCACGACGAAACGUGGUGA
rnacentral:rRNA from 1 species